rnacentral:lncRNA from 1 species
AUAGAGGCAGCAGAAGCAGUAACAACAACAACCCAUCUCCAUUUUCCUCCUCCUCUUCAUGGUUGUAGCUUGGAUCCAAGCUUACCGGCGGAAAUCACUGUGGAUCUCAACUCCGAUGUCCCUCUUCCUUACCCCUGGGAGCAGUAUCUGAACAUUCAGGUCGAUCUUUUAAUAAAUGAUUCAUGAUUGUUGCAAUAAAUGAGAGUAUUUUAAAUCAUCUCCUCCUCCACCUUCUCUUCUCCUAAUCAUUUGGAAUAAAUGAAGCCUGAAACAUUAAUACCUUUUCUAUCUCCACUUUACUCUUUGUCUCUGAUCCAAGAUCUCAGCUUUUUUUUCCUCUUGCUGUUCUUUUUCCGGACCCACCCUAUUUUUCUCUCUUGGACUUCAGAUCAUCAUCAGAUCUUUUUCCUUUUCUUCUCUGGAUCUGACUCUUGUUGUUGUUGAUGUAAAUUUGUAAUGGUCA